GACCGGGAUGGACGGACCGCUGGUGGAUCUGUUGUACUGCCAAGUGCAUAGCAGAGUAGCCAAGUCUGGAAGGGAUAAACGCUGAAGGCAUCUAAGCGUGAAGCCCCCCCAAAGAUAAGAUUUCCCAUACCGUAAGGUAGUAAGACCCCUUGAAGACGACGAGGUAGAUAGGGCGGAGGUGGAAGUGUGGCAACACAUGGAGCUGACCGUUACUAAUCGGUCGAGGCUUUGACCAA
rnacentral:rRNA from 1 species